rnacentral:rRNA from 1 species
UACGUAGGGUGCAAGCGUUGUCCGGAAUUAUUGGGCGUAAAGAGCUCGUAGGCGGCUUGUCGCGUCGGCUGUGAAAACCCGCGGCUCAACUGUGGGCGGGCAGCUGAUACGGGCAGGCUGGAGUUCGGUAGGGGAGACUGGAAUUCCUGGUGUAGCGGUGAAAUGCGCAGAUAUCAGGAGGAACACCGGUGGCGAAGGCGGAUCUCUGGGCCGAUACUGACGCUGAGGAGCGAAAGCGUGGGGAGCGAACAGG